rnacentral:tRNA from 1 species
CAUAAAGCCCCCCGCUUACACCGGGAAAAUGUCUGUUUAAAUCAGACCGCUUUGA